GGAUAAUUAAAAUACUCACUCAAAACAGUUUGCAAAACAGUCUUCCAAUACCAACCUAGAUGAUGUACCAAGAGGGAGUAGCACCUAUGUUGGGAAAUUGAGGUGUUAGCUGGUUGGAAUUGGCCACACAAUACCGCGGGUUUGGUAUAGGCAAUAUAUUCUCUGCUGGCCUGCGCAAACUUCUUUCUUCAGAACUUUAUUAUUAUGGAUUUGGCUGGGUUUUGGCACUGAUGUCACCGAGAGAGAACUUGUCAUUGCCAGAAUGUUCUGCAUCAUAGUACUCACAAUUUAUUAUUAUGGAUUUUUAUCUUGUAUUUGGUGAUUUCAAUGGUGCAUUUAAGAUGUUUGAUGAAAUGCCUGUUAGGUCUUUGCAGGAUUAAAUAUUCCAUUCAUAAAAAUACAAGUAGCACAAGUUGGCUCUCAUAUGCCAAAUGAUGCAAAUAUGACAAAUGCAGAAUCCACCAACAAUCAGUCUAGACAAUCAGUUUCGUGUUUUAUUAUAUGUUCUUUACUUGCUGGAGUUUUGUAAUUUCCUCAAGAGAUCUUAUCUUAGAAUGCCACAAGCAUGGAGUUGUAGGCUUUAAUUGUUUCACAAUUUAAGUUUUGGAAUUUCUGUUGCUUGCUUGUCUCAGUGCCUUUCUGAGAUAUGAUUGCUAAUA